rnacentral:rRNA from 1 species
AGUGAACGCUGGCGGUAGGCCUAACACAUGCGAGUCGAACGGCAGCACAGUAAGAGCUUGCUCUUACGGGUGGCGAGUGGCGGACGGGUGAGGAAUACAUCGGAAUCUACUUUUUCGUGGGGGAUAACGUAGGAAAACUUACGCUAAUACCGCAUACGACCUACGGGUGAAAGCAGGGGAUCUUCGGACCUUGCGCGAUUGAAUGAGCCGAUGUCGGAUUAGCUAGUUGGCGGGGUAAAGGCCCACCAAGGCGACGAUCCGUAGCUGGUCUGAGAGGAUGAUCAGCCACACUGGAACUGAGACACGGUCCAGACUCCUACGGGAGGCAGCAGUGGGGAAUAUUGGACAAUGGGCGCAAGCCUGAUCCAGCCAUACCGCGUGGGUGAAGAAGGCCUUCGGGUUGUAAAGCCCUUUUGUUGGGAAAGAAAAGCAGCAGGUUAAUACCCCGCUGUUCUGACGGUACCCAAAGAAUAAGCACCGGCUAACUUCGUG